rnacentral:lncRNA from 1 species
UGCACCAAGAUAAUCUUUUAAUUCAACUUCCAACAAACUUUUUGAGGGACUCCUCUAGUUGUCCAGCCUCCUAUGGUGCCUGUUGUUAGUAAAACUGCAGGCCUCCCUGGCGUGAUGGCCAAGUUCCUCUUGCAGACAAGGCUUUCUUUAAAUGUGGUCUGUUAAUGUUACCUGGGGAUAAGGGGCUGACCAGGAAAUUCUCACAGUGUGACAAUGGUUAAUGUCAUUGUUCUCCUAUCACACCAUAUUUGAUUUCGUUAUUUGAGAUCUCGGGUCAGAGUCUACAAUUUACUAUUCUUGGAGUUUUGGACUCUUGGACCAACCUGGAGAUUUCUGGAGUGUGGUAUUGAUUCCACACCUUGUCUUGGAUAAUUAUUACCUAAUAAGCAAUUCAGUGAACUCCUUUUUUUAAAAAAAUUUUUGACUAAUAUUUACAUGGUACUGAAUUUCUGCACACAAAUUCACUGAAGCCUUUUGAUAGCAAGCUUCAGGUCUCAUGCCUUUUGUUGUUCUUUGUUAAAACAAUUCCCCUAUUGUGAAUGUCCUGUGUGAGAGCUACUGCCAAUAAGCAAUGCCUGUGGUCACCAUUCAAACCUACCCAUAGAAGACAUUCUUUGUGCCACCUUCUUGUUCCUGAAGAUCAACAACUUUACAGUCAAUGCCGUGCUUACCUCACAUUUUUUGCUGGUGCCUGACCCUGUUCCAAAGGCUUCGUCUCAGAGAUCCAGACCUGAUUCCAGUUGCCCACGGAAUGCCUUGCAUGAAUGCUCCUGGACACCUCAACUUGCACACACAAGGGUAAUUCAUUGGAUCCACGGGCAAACAUAGACCCAGUCUUCAAAAGAAACUGGAACCAGAGGCUGAGACCUUGGGAAUCCAGUAAGCACCUUCCCUCCAAUUUUUAUAUCAUUUUAUUUCUCAUAGGAUGUGUGUUUUUUCAUGUACCAUAGACCAGUUUUCC